AUUUGCUCUAAAAACAAAAGAAUAGCGUGAAAAGUCGAAGAAAAAGUUCAUCAAUUUAUCUGAAUUCAAUUUCAGGUCCGAUCCAGUGUCGACGUCCGAGAGUUUUCAAGCAUUUAAGAAACACAAAAGUCGUUACGAAGAAGAAAGAGCAUAAUUCGAGGCGACGUAUAUUGAACGUUAUGAGAAGGGGAAGGUAAGUUAUUCGCUUAAUAAAAAAAAAAAAAAAAAAAGAUGAAAGAUCCAUCGGACGCAUGUGCACAAUACCCUCGACGAAUUGAAAGACUUGGGGAGCACAAGAGUAAAGAAAAGGGAGUGUUGCGCUGGAAAGAGACUUGUGAGAAGAUCUAAGUCGCAGAUUGUUGUUUAAAAGAAAGUAACAUGAAGUUAUCGUUUGAUCACGUUCACAUGCUCUUUAAUAAGAUCGAGGAAAAUUGUUCACAUAUUACGUAUGCCAAUAUUGUAUAUACGUUUCAACGUUUGUAUUGUGCUUUUCUUGUGUUGCGAAGAUUUAGUGUAAUCGAAAAGAAUUAUGUACAACUAAAAAUAUUAUUUGAACGGACAUUUCAUUUGCACGAAUAAAAAUUUAUGUUUUUUUGUAUUAUUUUUAUUACUAUGAAGUAACUUUUACGCACUCACAGUGUAUAAUUAUAUUGCAUACACUAAGAAAAAAAGUGGUUAACUUGACUUAAAAUAUUUAAAUACUUUGAAUUAAAGAAAUUACUACCAACUUUUUUCUCAGUGUGUGUGUGCACACAAAAAAAAAGAUAAUACCAAAUCAACAAUUUAUUGUUUCCAAGAAUAUCAAAUUUUCUUGGAAGAAAAUUUGUUUUCCUCAUGCAAGCAAAUUAUGUCUAUUUAAGACUAUAAACUCUUCCAAAAUUUUAUACUUGCUUAUACGUCUAAUAAAUUGUUAACUUCAUACUAAUUUCUUUCUGUGUAGAAUAAGCGCAUAUGCUGCGCUGGUUAUCGUAUCUAACGAUCAUAGUUAUAAUUCAUUAGUAUAUUUUAGAGAGUAAUCUUUACGCGCGAUUUUCUGUAUCUUUCUACGAUUGGUUUCAUCAAGUGGACAAGCAAAUAUAGUUGCUAUUGAUAUUCGCAUUCAUGAUUUCUCAACACAUCGCAUGUGCGAGGCAAAAGUUUUCGUGACCUGUAUACGAAAAGACACUUUUCAUUGUGAGUAUCAUAUCUGAUAUAUACAUGCAUAGUUACGAAGGUCGCUGAAUAGUUUGCAUUAUAAAUUGUUUGCACAGUCUGCUUCGAUAUUUAUUCGAGACGCGUUUAAUAUCAACGAGCAGCAUUUUGUAUGUAUGAGAAUGAAUCUUACGCUGUUGAAUCCUUCCAGAGAAAGAUCCAUCACUUUUCCUACCGUGAUCGUCAAUCUCUUUUGCGACCUCGCAGUCACAAGCAGAAGAGUUUGACACUGGCUGGGCGUCAUAUUGCACCAGACGGACUCAUAGACGGCGUAUGCGAUCGAUUUACUUUGAAAAACAACCAACCGAGUUCUACAAACGUCGAACAAGAGCGAAUAUUUUUCUUUACGAAAAAAUUUUUAUACAUAUACAUUUAUAUGACGGCUGUUUGUAAAGUUAAGUGCUCGUAAAAUUGCUUAUUAACACAACGAUUUAUCAGGAAAUAAGAGAUUAUUCCAAUAAAAUAAAUGUGAUAACUCUCGCGCUCUAAGAUAUUUCCGGACAAAAUGAAAACCGAACGCUUCCAGUAUAAUUGUAUAAUAAAAUAAGAAAAUGCGUUUCAUUAAUAUUUCUGCUCUUUGAUUGUUAGAACUCAUUCUCAUGCUAUGUUAUUUCGAUCGAAACGUUUUUUCGGAUUGGUGAAACCGGACUGCUCUGUUCAAACGAUUGUUAGAGAAGUUCCUUUGCAAUUCGAUCAAAAUAUUGUGUAGCGUGUGAACGAGCUCCAACAAUCAAAGAGCAGAAAUUUUAACAAGAAGCAUUUACGUAUUUUACAUCGCGAUUAUAUUGAAUGCGUUCAUUUUCUGCUUCGUUGGGGAGUAUCUUAUAACGUGAGAGUAUCACAUUUAUUUUAUUGGAAUGAUCUUAUUGCUUGAUAAAUUGCUGCGUUAGUAGGCAAAUCUACGAGCACUUAAUUUUACAAACUGCUGUUAUAAAUGCGUGUGAACAUAGUCUUAGUGUCUGUAAAAGUAAAAAUGAAUAGUAUAAAUCGGCAAUGCAAUGACACAUCAAAAUCUGCAUUAAUAUUAUAUAACGUGGAUAAAAGUAUCAACUGUUUUGUAAUGAUUAUACAAUAUUUUAGUGGGAUUUGUUGAGUAGAUUUAUAUAAUAACAAUUAUAAAAUUAAUUGUAAUAAAAUUAUAACAAAAAUAAAAUCAAUUAAAGAAAUUAAUUUUUAUUUAUUUUUAAAUUGAAAUAAUUAUUUGAAAUAUUUAUUAUCGCGAAUAAAAUUUAUAAUUAUAAUGGUCAUAAAUUUUGAGACUUUAGAUUAUAUUGAAUUAGAUAAAAAAAUUAGAUAUACAAUUAGAUAAAAAUCAGUAGACAUACAAAAGAAGAAAUUUUUUAAAAAUCUUUAGUAGAAAUGAAAAACUCUGAUAGUUUUUCCAACAAAUUUGUGUCAAAAUUUGUAGUAUGUCAAUUUGACUGUUGACGUAAAGAAUUUCCAAACUUAAUUAAAAUAACUUGUCUUUAUUAACAUAGAAACCUGGAAGAUGAUUUUAAACGUCGCAAAGCAAAGAAGAUAAUUGAAACUCACCAACAUAAUGACCAGAGAAUUGAUCAUCGCGACCAAAGGAAAGGAAGACAAUUCGUGGAGAAACUGGGCUAUACUGCCGUGAUCUUAAAUAUGAGGUUUCAUUAACUACAGGUAAUUCCAUUUUGAGGGGAAGAUCGAAUCUGGUCCCGCGAGAGUCCUCGUUCUUUACGAAAUGAGACCUUACACCGAAUGAGACCUCUGAGAGCGCAGAGACAGCAGCUGAGACGCUGAUGAACAUUAAAAUGUUAAAUCAUCGACGCGCACGACAGAUUGGCGUAAAUUAUCCUUAGAUGGAUAGAAAUUCUCCUAUCAUGUUCACCAAUGGUUUUGUUAAUAUUAACAGUAACUGAAACUACAAUACAAAAUUAAUAUUAGGUUGUUCGAAAA